rnacentral:rRNA from 1 species
GACGAACGCUGGCGGCGUGCUUAACACAUGCAAGUCGAACGGAAAGGCCCUGCUUUUGUGGGGUGCUCGAGUGGCGAACGGGUGAGUAUCACGUGAGUAACCUGCUCUUGACUUUGGGAUAACUUCAGGAAACUGGGGCUACUACCGGAUAGCAGCUCCUGCUGCAUGGUGGGGGUUGGAUCGUUUCGGCGGGUGGGGAUGGACUCGCGGCUUAUCAGCUAGUUGGUGGGGUAGUGGCUUACCAAGGCUUUGACGGGUAGCCGGCCUGGGAGGGGGACCGGCGACAAUGGGACUGAGAGACGGCCCAGACUCCUACGGGAGGCAGCAGUGGGGAAUAUUGCACAAUGGGCGGAAGCCUGAUGCAGCAACGCCGCGUGCGGGAUGACGGCCUUCGGGUUGUAAACCGCUGUCGCCUGUGACGAAGCGUGAGUGACGGUAAUGGGUAAAGAAGCACCGGCUAACUACGUG